AUGUGGCUGCGUGUCCAACUUGUGCCCAAAACAAGACCUCACGUCAAGCUCCUGAUGGUCUCCUGCAGCCUCUGCCUAUUCCCAAGCGGCCUUGGUCGGACAUUUCCCUGGACUUUGUUACUGGCCUGCCCCCUUCUGAUGGCAGCGGUACUUACAGCUGUGGACAGGUUCUCAAGGAUGGUACAUUUUAUCCCCCUGCCCAAGUUGCCUACCGUAAAAGAAACGGCGGAGAUUCUGCUCACCCAUGUGUUCAGGAUCCAUGACUUUCCUGCUGAUGUAGUUUCUGACCGUAGUCCCCAAUUUAUAUCCCGGUUCUGGAGAGCCUUCUGCACAUUGAUUUGGGCCACGGUCAGUUUAUCUUCGGGCUACCACCCAGAAUCCAAUGGACAGACGGAGCGUCUUAACCAAGAGAUGGAGAAGGGUCUUCGCUGCCUGGUUUCUCAGAGUCCGGCAUCCUGGUCCAAGAUGCUUCUGUGGGUGGAAUAUGCCCACAACACCCUGCCCUGCUCGUCCACUGGCUUGUCGCCCUUUCAGUGCACCUACGGCUACCAACCGCCGCUAUUCUCUGCCCUCGAGAGAGAGGUAGGGGUGCCCUCGGCCAUGGCCUUGGUAAGACGCUGUCGACGGACUUGGGCGAGGGCUCGACGGGUCAUUCUGAGCAACAGGGACGCUACAAGAGACAGGCUGAUCGGCGGAGGUCUGCAGCCCCUCACUACCAGGUGGGCCAGAGAGUGUACCUGGCCACGAAGGAUCUCCCUCUGCGCACCGAGAGCCGGAAGUUGGCCUCUCGGUUCGUGGGACCGUUUCCAAGGUGAUCAAUCCUGUGACUGUUCGGUUGAAGCUGCCCAGGGCCAUGAGAGUACACCCCACGUUUUAUGUGAGCAGAGUCAAGCCAGUCCAGGAGAGCGCACUGGUUCCGGUCACACCUCCCCCCCCUCCCCCUCGUCUUAUUGGCGGAGGCCCUGUUUCUACAGUGCGCAAGCUGUUGGCGGUCAGGAAGAGAGGCUGGGGCCGUCAAUUCCUGGUAGACUGGGAGGGGUAUGGCCCAGAAGAGAGGGCAUGGGUGUCGGCCAGCAAUACUUUGGACCCGAGUCUCAUUCGGGACUUUUAUAA
ensembl:lncRNA